GGAGGCGUCUGGGUUCCUGGUGGUCCCCCCGGUCUUCAAAACCGGUGAGGCCGAGCAUCUCGGUCUGGCGGGUUCGAUUCCCGUCCGCCUCCGCCA
rnacentral:tRNA from 1 species